AGCCCUGGAGUAGCUGUUAUACGUUGGAUUGCAAAUCCAGAGAUGGAGGAUAAACCCCUCCCGGGGCUU
rnacentral:tRNA from 1 species